AAUGAACGUUGGCGGCAUGGAUUAGGCAUGCAAGUCGAGCGAGAAGAGUUUUGAAGCUUGCUUUAGAACUCGGACAGCGGCGAAAGGGAGAGUAACGCGUAGUUAUGUGCCCUAGGGUCCGGAAUAGCCACGGGAAACUGUGGGUAAUGCCGGAUAAUAUCCCCGGAUCAAAGGUGUGAUUCCGCCCUAGGAGCAGACUGCGUCCUACUAGCUAGUUGGUGGGGUAAUGGCCUACCAAGGCAAUGAUGGGUAGCGGGUGUGAGAGCAUGACCCGGCACACUGGGACUGAGACACUGCCCAGACACCUACGGGUGGCUGCAGUCGAGAAGCUUCGGCAAUGGGCGAAAGCCUGACCGAGCGAUGCCGCGUGCGGGAUGAAGGCCCUCGGGUUGUAAACCGCUGUCGUAGGGGAGGAAGGUUCCGUGAAGAGCGGAAUUUGACCUAUCCUAGGAGGAAGUACGGGCUAAGUUCGUGCCAGCCGCCGCAGUAAUAC
rnacentral:rRNA from 1 species